rnacentral:rRNA from 1 species
GAUGAACGCUGGCGGCGUGCUUAACACAUGCAAGUCGAACGAUGAAGCCCAGCUUGCUGGGUGGAUUAGUGGCGAACGGGUGAGUAACACGUGAGAACCUGCCCUUAACUCUGGGAUUAGCCUGGGAAACUUGGUCUAAUACCCGAUAGGAGCGUCCCCCGCAUGGUGGGUGUUGGAAAGAUUUAUCGGUUUUGGAUGGACUCGCGGCCUAUCAGCUUGUUGGUGAGGUAAUGGCUCACCAAGGCGACGACGGGUAGCCGGCCUGAGAGGGUGACCGGCCACACUGGGACUGAGACACGGCCCAGACUCCUACGGGAGGCAGCAGUGGGGAAUAUUGCACAAUGGGCGAAAGCCUGAUGCAGCGACGCCGCGUGAGGGAUGACGGCCUUCGGGUUGUAAACCUCUUUCAGUAGGGAAGAAGCGAAAGUGACGGUACCUGCAGAAGAAGCACCGGCUAACUACGUG